ACCUUGGGGUACUGUCCCUAAUAUCCUAAGGUGGAAAAGGGAAUGGCAAGAGAGGAAGCAAGCCCCAGUGGUAGCAACUGCCGCCUCGACACCUGUUUCUCCGCUUCCCGGGGGAAACAAGAUUCGUGAUUAGCUCGGCUCCUACUUUGGGGAAUGGGACAGGAAAAAUGUUGGCACUUGCCGACGCCAUUCUAGGAAGAGCGUAGUCACCGGGCCUGUGGCCUCUCAUGCCGGAGCGCUCUAGCAUUGGCUUUACUUGGUCAAAUAGGCCCUGAGAAUCCCGACUGGGGGUCUCAAGGUUUAGGCCGUGAUUUCCAAUACCUCUGCAUCCCCUUCUUCCCUCCCUCUUUUUUCAUGCCCUGAUUUCUUUCCUAAUAAACUUCUCAGUGCUUCAGGACUGAAAGACUGCACAGGCCUCGGGAUUUUAGGAGCCAAAGAUGUACGCUCCUACAUCAGAAUGGCAAGGUGGCGCUUUGGGGGCUGGCUGCCCGGUGGACGGGCCCGUCCAACUCUGACCUUGGCUAUGAAUGGGAGGGGGCCGAAGAGUUGGGGAAAAGUUAACCCUUUCCCCUGGUUUUGGCUUCGCUGCUCCCCACCCCCAUCCUCGUCCGGACAUCCCCAGAUCCUGCUCUGCCGGAAAUACCGGUUCCUUGCUCCGGGACAAUAGGUGUGGGGUAGGAUUGAACUCUGCACACGGUGUUUAGUCACAGUCACCGGAGCCACAAUCUAAAAGCAUUACCUCCCAGCCAGGUGUUUCUUCUUUUUUGCCCACGGACCUGAAAGCCAGAACAAGUGGUGGUCUACAGCCUAAAGCCAUCCACCACAUCUCCUGACAUGCUAAUAAUUGCUUCACUCUUGUCCCUGACACACUGAUUCUCUAUCCCUCCUGAAUAAUUACAAGUCUCAACAACCCUUAAGACGAUCAACUUGGAAACAGUUUCCACAGGACAAAGGAAUGUCUGCUUUGCUCAUGCUUGUACCUGCUCUGAGAAAGACUACUCAAGACCUAAGAAUGAUUGUGUUAUGGUCCAGUCCUUAUUUAUAUAUAAAACACUGCCUUUAUCCCAGAAUGUUAAGUCCAUCUUCAGGGUGCAGAGACGGGAAGAACAAGGAACAAAGAGGAAGUUCAGCUUGCAAGUGUUUUCCUCACUUUGAAAUUAAUUAAAUCGAUACUUGAUUCCUGACA